CAGAACCCUUUGUGACUUAUACCUUACUGUUGCCUCGGCGCUAGCUGGUCCCUCGGGGCCCCUCACCCUCGGGUGUUGAGACAGCCCGUCGGCGGCCAACCUAACUCUUGUUUUUACACUGAAACUCUGAGCACAAAACAUAAAUGAAUCAAAACUUUCAACAACGGAUCUCUUGGUUCUGGCAUCGAUGAAGAACGCAGCGAAAUGCGAUAAGUAAUGUGAAUUGCAGAAUUCAGUGAAUCAUCGAAUCUUUGAACGCACAUUGCGCCCUCUGGUAUUCCGGAGGGCAUGCCUGUUCGAGCGUCAUUUCAACCCUCAAGCCUGGCUUGGUGAUGGGGCACUGCUUCUUACCCAAGAAGCAGGCCCUGAAAUUCAGUGGCGAGCUCGCCAGGACCCCGAGCGCAGUAGUUAAACCCUCGCUCUGGAAGGCCCUGGCGGUGCCCUGCCGUUAAACCCCCAACUUCUGAAAAUU
rnacentral:rRNA from 1 species